GACGGUUCUCAGGUGACGCACCCUGGAAUUGGGCUCCCUCCUCUCUGGCUCUGGGUGAGUCACCAGAGAACCACA
rfam:Myotis lucifugus cont2.19589, whole genome shotgun sequence.